UACGGGGGGAGCAAGCGUUGUUCGGAAUUACUGGGCGUAAAGUGUGCGCAGGCGGCCGCGCAAGUCGAGUGUGAAAGCCCCGAGCUUAACUUGGGAAUUGCGCUCGAAACUACGUGGCUGGAGUGUGGCAGAGGAAGGUGGAAUUCCACGUGUAGCGGUGAAAUGCGUAGAGAUGUGGAGGAACACCAAUGGCGAAGGCAGCCUUCUGGGCCAACACUGACGCUCAUGCACGAAAGCGUGGGGAGCAAACAGG
rnacentral:rRNA from 1 species